AUUGAACGCUGGCGGCAGGCCUAACACAUGCAAGUCGAACGAGUGGCGGACGGGUGAGUAAUGUCUGGGAAACUGCCUGAUGGAGGGGGAUAACUAAUGGAAACGGUAGCUAAUACCGCAUACCAUCAGAUGUGCCCAGAGGGGAUGAGCUAGUUGGUGGGUGAACGGCUCAACAAGGCGAGGAUCCCUAGCUGGUCUGAGAGGAUGACGAGCAAACCGGGAACUGAGAAACGGUCCAGACUCCUACGGGAGGCAGCAGUGGGGAAUAUGGCACAAUGGGCGAAAGCCUGAUGCAGCCAUGCCGCGUGUAUGAAGAAGGCCUUCGGGUUGUAAAGUACUUUCAGCGGGGAGGCGUUACCCGCAGAAGAAGCACCGGCUAACUCCGUGCCAGCCGCCGCGGUAAUUC
rnacentral:rRNA from 1 species